UUGUCCCAAUUCUUGCCUUUCCUUCUUAACAGCAUGUACAAACUAGCCUAACAGCAAGCUCUUCUCAAUUUUAUUAACAUAAUGAAAGUCAGAGACAAGGGAAAGAAAAA
rnacentral:lncRNA from 1 species